UUUAGACUUGGUGACUUCUCUGGUGACCUCAGUGCUGUUUUGUGGCAGUGCUUUUCAGGUGCAGGAAGUGGUUUGCCUUUGCCCCAGCUGAAGCACUUCCUCUUUGUAGAAGAAUCAGAGGCCUGCAAGAACUACUCAUCCUGCACCUGGAGUAAAACCAUAUGGCUUGGAAACAAAGUCUGCAGGCUUCGAGCCAGUUAACGGAGUGGCUUCAGAGGAGUAGACGUGUGUUCUGUUCAUGUCCGGUGUGUGCAGCACACUGAUGUUUGCAGGCCUUCCCCAGGGGCUCAGUGUUUAGCGGGACAUGGACACAGACACCUCACCACAGGCCCAUCUGAGAAGUGCUGUGCAGACCAGCAAGCUUUCACAGGAUGGUCACGCAAGAAUAGGAAGAAAGUCUGCAGCCUACGGAUGAUGUGCAGUUCUCCCCCAUGUCAAAAGAAAUCCAAGCUGAUUCCCCCAGAGACAGCAUAAUAGGAAAAUAAAUCAGAAGGUCCAGUGGAGAGCUUCUACCCUCAUUACCAGCUCCAGGGACAGGAAUCUGCACCUGGAGUGCAAGAUCCACGAAUGUGCCUGCACAUUGUAUACAAUGAUAGAAAAUAAAGAAGGCCAUCUGCAUGUCCCAAGUUAAAUACAGUGUGACCCAGCCACUCUGGGAUACAUGUAGCUUUAAAGAGAAGUAGCAUUGACUUAAUGCUGGGAGUGGCUCCCAGCCAGGACCCCAUUCCUCAGCACCCAUGGACUGUGAUCUAGGGAGGACCAAGCGUCUGGUUCUCACCGAUGGAACAUGAGUGGAUGGGGCAAGUGUCACUUCUGGUCCAGAGGAUUAAGAAGUGGAUGUGACUUCCCACAGUCUCUUUUGCCAUCUGCCCAUUGAAUUGAAGAGAGUCAUCAUUGAAGAUGUGGAGCUGCCCAGUGAGUGGGUCCAGGAAUCCCUGCUAGGAGGUGAAUCACCCAAACAGGAGCACCCACAUGGAUGGAGAUACGCACAAGAGAUAAACUUUUAUUUUGUUUAACUGUGCAGGCUGGGAUUUAGUUAUCACAGCAGCUAGUAUACCUUCAAUAGUAUAUAUGGUUUAGUAUAAUCUGAUUCAAAAAUCUGUGUAUGAGUGUAUGCAGUUAUGGAUGUAUGUUGCCAUAUGCACUUUUCAAUCUCUUAAUUGGGUAGUCAGAAUUCUUCAAUGUGUCUGCAUAACAAACUAUACCAAAACUUAGAAUCAUAAACAAUAAGCAUUUCUGAUCUCUCACAGUUGCUGUGGGUCAGGAAUUUGAAAGCAAUUAGCUGGGUGGUUGGGGCUGCUGUCUCAUCUGAAGGUAUGAAUGGGGCUGGAGGUUCCACCUCCCAAGCAGCUCCUUAUACAGCUGGGCAGUUGGUGCUGCUUGUGUGCAGGAGGCAUGCAGACCUCUCCGCAGGGCUGCUUGAGCAUCCUUAUGGCAUGGCAGCUGACUUCCUCCAGAGUGAGCAAUCCCAGAGAGAGCAAGGCAGAAGACUCAAUGUUUUAUGAGCUAGCCUUGGAAGUCAGGCACAAUCAUGUUUGUGAUGUCUGCUGAUGACACAGGUCAGCCCUGCUCAAUGCGGGACAGGACUACACAGAACAUGAAGAGGGAGAGGCUGGCUACCAUAGGGAGGUCACAAUAGAAAAACACCUUGAUCAGAGUCUCAGGGUGGGGCAUGGAAACUGAAAGGUUUAAGUAAAAUAAACAAAGUGAAGAACAGGCUCAGCUGCUCUUGACGGGAGUGGUGAUGCAGGCUUUUGUCCACUGAGUGAAGUCACACAGGGAGAGGAGCCACAAGAAGCAUUGCAGAGAUCAGCAAGGCUGUGGUGGACAUCUGUGGACACUGUGACAGAGUGAACCUCACGGCUGCUCAGUGAAGGCCAGAGAUGGCACUGCAGAAGCAGGAGCCCCGCACAGAGAUGACCAGGACAGCAAGCCCACUGAGUGAUUUGGGAAUGAUCCUCCCUUUAUCUCCAGGGAGCUGGAGCAGAAACCAAUGGUGUAUUCGUGAUGCGGAUGAUGGGUCUCACUCUCAGGUAUCAUGUGGAAGGAGAAAGAGGCUGCUGCUUCUUUAGACUUGCACUCAUGUCUGAGUGGGUCCUCCUCUAGGCUUUGGAGAUUCAGGUAUCUGCUACCUGCUGGGUCUGAGGACCCCCAAGUGAAGGGUUCAUGAUCCCUGGGUUGGGGAGUGGUGUGCAGGAGAAAAUAUCAGCAUUUCCAUUUUCUCUCUAAAAACCAGGAACCCUGCCCUGUGCUGACACUGAGUGUGCACCUGCUCUCCGGCAGCCCCUGUUUGCUUCUCAAGUCCUGCGACUACUCUCCCCAUCACAUAAGGGACAGAUAGCUUAAUAAGACUCCCGCCAAGAGACUGCAGAAUAAAGAUUCUAUUAAUCAUUUCUCUGGCAAUGGGACAACAGCAGAGCUGGCAGAGCCAACACUGUAGAUCUCACUGGAGCCCCAUGCACAUGACAAGAGCAAGAAACUGUUUGAAAGAGAGCCUGACACCAGCACUGUCAACACAAACCAUGCCCUGAAUAUGCUGCUCAUGGAGUGUUAGCUAAUGCGGUAUUAAGCCACAUUUUAAAAAACUUAUCUGUUUAUUUUAAUUGACACAUAAUAGUUGUAUGUAUUUAUGGGAUACAAUGUGAUAUUUCAUUACAUGUAUAUAUUGUGUAAUGAUCAAAUCAGGGUAAUUAGCAUAACCAUUACAACCUCAUUACUUCUUUGUGGUGGGAACAUUCACAAUGCCUCUCUUCCAGCUAUUUGGAGAUAUACAAGAACUUAUUGUUAGCUACAGUCACCCUACUGUGCAGUAGACACCAGAGCUUAUUCUUCCUUUUAACUGUAUCUCUGUACCCGUUAACCAAAAUCUCCCCAUCUUCCUCUCCCCACUAGCCGUCUUGUCCUCUGGUAACCACAAUUCUACUCUCUACUUCUAUAAGCUCAACUUUCUUUUAACUCCCACAUAUGAGUGAGAUCAUGUGGUAUUUCCUUUCUGUGCCUGGCUUAUUUUGCUUUAUAUAACAUCCUACAGGCUCAUCCAUGUUGCUGCAAAUGACGGGAUUUCAUUCUUUUUUCAUGGCUGAAUAGUAUCCCAUUGUGGAUAUGUACCACAUUUUCUUUAUCCUAUGUGUCCUUGAUGGACACAAGUUGAUUUCAUCUCUUGGCCAUUGCAAAUAGUUAAGCUAGCAUUUUUAGCAGAACAUUUGGAAAUAGUCUUUCAGGUUUAUCUUACCUUUUAAAAGUUUUGGUGUAUGUUUUGUAAUGUGUAUAAUACAUAAAUACAGUAGUUGUGUGUAUAUAGUAAAUACACACAGAUAUAUGUAUAUUGACUUUUUACAUUUAACAGUGAUGUAGUUCAGAAAAUGAGAUGCCCUGUUUGGGUGACUAUUCUGUCUCAUGUGUUAGGUUGAAUGACCAGGUGGAUAACUGUCUAAUUUUUUGCUGGCCCACUGAGACAACUGCCCUUCAUCACCUCCUCCAGAGCACAGGUUGAGGGCAGCUACAGUCACAUAGUGCUUGAGAUGCAGCUGGUAAGGCCAUUCCUGUAUCACUGACCCUGAAAGCCAGCUUUAUACUCUUUUCUGUGCUGAAUAGAUUGUCCUGGAGAGUUUGCUUUUUAUCUGCUAAUCUCUAUGCUUGGAGGUCUUUGUGGAAUGGAAGUUUUCUCAUUAGCAGGCAACACAAUGAAAAACUUCCUAGUAACUGCUCUUAAAAACUUUAUCUGGGCCGGGCACAGUGGCUCAUGCCUGUAAUCCCAGCACUUUGGGAGGCUGAGGCAGGCAGAUCACCUGAGGUCAGGAGUUCAAGACCAGCAUGGCCCAGACCAGGUCUGUCCCACAGACCCUGGCCAACCGAUGGAUGAACGGGGUACUCAGACACAGGUAUGCAGUGGAAGAGCAGCUGGAGGACUGCCAAGCUUUAAUGGCCAAAGUGCAGCAGCCUUCAGAAGCUGGAGCUGCUUGCUUUUAUUGAGUGCAGGCACAAUGCUAAAAGCCUGAAGCAAUACACAAUCUGUGGGUAAUUAACAUAUAUUGUUCCUCUUUCAGGGAACUUAAGGAACUUAUGGCAGAUGAUCAAAGGUCAGCUCCUGGUCAACAUAAGUAAACAAGCCUGUUUAAGAUAAAUUCCCCACUUUGGGAGGCCGAGACGGGCGGAUCACGAGGUCAGGAGAUCGAGACCAUCCUGGCUAACAUGGUGAAACCCCGUCUCUACUAAAAA